GAAUUCGCCCUUAGAGUUUGAUCCUGGCUCAGAAUGAACGCUGGCGGCGUGGAUUAGGCAUGCAAGUCGAACGAGAAAGCGGUUUUUAAUCGUGAGUAAAGUGGCGAAUGGGUGAGUAACGCGUGGGAAACCUGCCCUUGAGUGUGGAAUAACAUUUCUAACGAGAUGCUAAUACCGCAUAAUAUUACAGAUCGCAUGUUCUGUAAUCAAAGGAGGCCUCUAUUUAUAAGCUAUCGCUUAAGGAUGGUCCCGCGUCUAAUUAGCUAGUUGGUAGGGUAAUGGCCUACCAAGGCGACGAUUGGUAGCCGGCCUGAGAGGGUGUCCGGCCACACUGGGACUGAGACACGGCCCAGACUCCUACGGGAGGCAGCAGUCGAGAAGCUUCGGCAAUGGGGGAAACCCUGACCGAGCGACGCCGCGUGGGUGAUGAAGUCCUUCGGGAUGUAAAGCCCUGUCAUACGGGAUGAAAAAUCAAUUGGUUAAUCGCCUUUUGAUCUGACAGUACUGUAAGAGGAAGCUCCGGCUAACUCCGUGCCAGCAGCCGCGGUAAUACGGGGGGAGCGAGCGUUAUUCGGAUUUACUGGGCAUAAAGGGUUCGUAGGCUGUCUUGAAAGUCAGAGGUGAAAUCUAGCGGCUUAACCGCUAAAUUGCCUUUGAAACUACUUGACUUGAGGACAGGAGAGGAAAGCGGAAUUC
rnacentral:rRNA from 1 species